rnacentral:lncRNA from 1 species
CACUCGUCAAUUGCUGUGGUGUAAAUAGUCCUACCAUGGCCAAUUUCAAGCCGCCAACCUGACAUCACCCAAGAAGGAAUUGUGAAGAUGUGGAUGAUAGCAGAGAGCUUCAUGCUGAUGUUCCAGUUGUUGCUGCAUGGGCAGAGGGGACAUUGUGAAUGAAAGAAGCCAUUUGUUAUACUGUCCACGUCCAACCGACAGAAAAGAAGGCUCCCUUUGAAACGUUUGUGUCUGUUAUGGACUGCUGAGAAGUCGUACACAGGAUGGUGGUGACAGCGGCAUUUUCACAUGUAGGGGUAGUGAAGCAAUAUGACUGGCUGCUGGAAUACAGGAGGCAGAAUCCUCCCACAUCCUCCCUUGAAAACAUCUGCAAGUGUCGGAGAUCCCCAAGGUUUCUUUCUGACCCCUGCUUCUUGUCCCGAGUCUUUUAUUACCGUUCCUCAUCUUCAGCUCCGGGGCAUCACAA